AGGAGAUGCCGGGUACUGAAUCAGUUUAGAGAGUGUCACGUAACCGUACCAGGAGAUAAGAAGGCACGUAUGUCACUUAACAUGUGAACUUCUUAUAAUAUCAUCUCCAUUAUAUAUGAAAGCCUAUUUUACAGAAUAAAAUCCAUAUUUAUUACAAGUAGAGGGACAGCUCUACAGUUGAAGAAUGAGGCCAGGCUAAUAGGAGGCAGAAAAGUGUGAGUACAUGUGCCAGGGGCAUCCCUUAUGUCGUUGUUUUUGUUAAUCUUGUUGCUGUACAGACGUCUGCGUCAUCUACGCCACUUCGGUGUUCCUGUUUGUGCACUAGAAAGACUCUGAUUCUGUUCUGUUCAGCUUGAGUCUCCGGAAAUUUCCAGUUAAGACAUCUCCUACAAGUAUCACAUCGAUUCCUUAGUGGAACAUUACGUACAAGUUCCCUGAUCUAUUAUCAUUCAGGUGACUGGAAAUACUUCCUCCACAGGCUCAAAGUUCUCAAAGCUUUCACAGUCUGAGGUGAAAUAACCUCUUACUGAAUUCUUUUCUCUCACUCUUGUUCCAGUUUUAAAGUAUUGCUGUUUGAUCAUCUCUGCAGGUAUUAUCAAAGGUGUAAAUGAAUGUCGAAGCAGAUGUUGCAUCAGGCUUUUUAAAUCUCUAACAUACCUGCGUCUACUUAAAGAUAAAUCCGGCAGCUGAACUGACUUUACGUGUUUGUUUGGCAGCUUUUUUUGUUUUGUUUUCAUCUUAAAAAAGAAAGUUAGCUUAUCUCAACACAAAGAUGAAGAUUGAAAUCAUUAGAUUAUCCUCUUUUUAAAGAAAUCCAGUCCAUCUUUUUACAAAUCCAUCAGUUUUUCCACUGAUUCACACAUUGCAAACUCAUUUAUUACAGGUGACCCACCGCUCUCUCCUGCAGAUAAGAGAGGAAGUGAUAAAUCUACUUUGUGUGAGAUUGUUAUCAUUACCAGCAAAAAGUUGUGACAUUGAAAAUCAGAUCAAAGAUAAUCAUAUACAGAGCAGACGAGAGAAGAUAAAACCGUUUUUAGUGUCUGACAUUUAAAGCGUGUGACUUUAACUUGAUGAUGCAGAGGAAAGUUUCGACUUGCAGACGUUUACUGUUGGUAUAAAACUGCGUCUGAGAUUGCACUUGAAACGUCAGUAAAACAAGCUGUGAAGUGACAGCUGUCAGAUGAUUUCUAGUACACAGAUGGUUCAGUGAGGCAGAGAAGUACUCAAGGUGUCUUCAAACAGACAUGACGUGCCACAAUAAAGGGUUUACGGAGCUCCGGAGGUGGAUACGGCAUUGUUUGAGGAGAGCUUUUGAGUGAUGGUGUUAACUUCCAGAAACAUUAAAACUGGUAAAUAUGAGCAUGUGUAGAUUUUGCUAUAUAUCCGUCGUAUAAAAAGACCUUUCUAUAAACCUCAAAUCUCACCCACGUAAGAUGUCAAAGUAAAGAUGCCGCAUACUUCUGAAGAUGCUGCUCCCGGUAUCACACUUAUCUACGUUUGGUGCAAUCUCGCUUAAUUUUUAUUUGAACAUGACCUUUCAGCUUAUAGAGAACAUCACAAUGAGAAAGAUUGACGUCACUCACUCGUAUAAAAAUAGAUAAAAUGUGAUAGAGAGCAGGAAAUUAUAAAAAUACCCCUAUAGAGAUGUGAAUAGCUCUCCCCUUCUCCUGGAAAUUCACAUCACUCCGCUCAUACAAGUGCUCCUCUUGGCUCCUCUGAGCACAAAUUUGGGUCUUACUCACAAUUUCAGACAUAAGAGAGAUAUGAGAAGGUUUGGAAAAGCUUUUUGGGGAUCAAGGAGGAAGAAGAUCACAAAAUACAGAAAAUCCUUCGGCGCCAACAACUUUCACGAUGACUAUAACGGGUACCUCUCUCAAUGUAAACACUAAAUAGACAUAUGUUCAUAUAGUUUUCUUGUCUUUGCAACCACUCCAAUCACUUUUGUCACAUUAACUGAUGGCAGAGAGGAUGGGACAUAGGAGGGGACAUUAACAUGCUGCUGACUGCGCCACCAGGAGUGAGUUUGAGAUCCUCUGAAGAUCGAUUAGACAUUAGACUGCAGCAGCCGGGAUCCUUCCAAUACAACAACAGAGCUUUUGCCUCUCCAGGUUACUAAUCAAUCCAACAUUCAUACUUUCUAGCCAGUUCUGUAACACAUGAUCUACCAGAGGUAGUAAACUUCAAAAUAAAAGCAUAGUUUGACAAUGCAAGAAUCAAAGCAACCUAAACGAAGUCUGAAAAAUACCAAAAUAAAAGCAUGACAAACAAUCUUUUAAUUGGGCAAUGUUGUCUCCAAGAAGUUUCAUUUAAGGAACAGAUGAUAAAUCAUGAGUCUGGAUAUGAUGGUGGCAUUUAAAGUAAUCGCAUCAAUCAGUUAAGAUUAUGAAGUUUCUUAUUACAGCCAUGAUAACAGUGAGGUGAAAAUCUGACAUCGUGAUAUCUCUAAUUCCAAUAUGUGAAUUGAAAAACCUAAAAAAUAAACUUGAUCUGCUUGUGGCGAGAAAAAAAACCUGCCAGCGCAACAAGUGAGAUUUUUUCCAUGUCAAGAAACUCCAGAAGCAUAAUCUGCUUCCUGCAGUGGCAGCUAUUUUUACUCAUAUUACACUGAGUUCUCCUUUUUGCUUUUAAUUUCUUGAGACCAGAUGCUAUGACAAGAACUCGCCUUAUAAUAUGGCUUGCAGAAGUUGCAUUUUGCUGCAGUCAUAAAGGAGAAACGAUCUGAGUCAUCUACGUUUGUUCAAGUGACGUACACAUAAUAGCUGCAAAGCAUUCUUCAGAUUCACAGCGUUUACUUCGCUUUAUUCCCUCUUUAACAGAUGCUUUGAUACACAAACAUAGAAAACACAGAUUCACAUUGAGUUGAAUGAAUUCCGCCUUAAGGUAAAUACUAAGCAGGUUGGAUUCAGGUGCAGAUUAUGUGGGGCUCAGUUUAAAUCUCAAUACAUCCCUGCAGACCCUCUGUUCCUUUAAAAAAAACACACGUUCCCAUAAAUUCUUAGGUCAAGGGAAACUCAUUUGAAAUGCAUCAGAUCUCAUAAUUCUUCCUCUUUAAUGAAUGAACUGUUGUGCCCAGAUAAAAAGCCGAGGAUAAGAUGGGUCGGUUUUACAGCGCAGUGUGCAUAACUUGACAUAGAUGAAUUUAACAGCUCCUCAUAAAUCAGGACAGUGUGCACCAGUUGUGCUGAACAUUACAACAGGGAGCUGUGCAUGGAUGCUCAGCACUCACAGAUUGGAAGCAUACACAAUUGUGCUGUUAAACAUCAAGGCCUUUGCAUUUAGUUAAAGGGGACGGACAUAUAAAUGUUUAAAGCAGGACUAUAAAUUAAGUACAGAGAGCCGUUUAAAGAGAGACAGCUCUGAGUGCCUGUGCAUGGGUGUUUGGGGAUUUGGGCUAUUAUUGGAAAUGUUGCUGUUUAGUUAGCUUUGAUAUGCUUUUAUCAGUUUUUCUUUGCAUUUUUAAGUCCUUCACUUGAAAAGCUGUGCUGAAAGAGAAAAGUUUGAGUAAAUCUCCAUCACUGCGUGGAAAAAUGUUCCCUUCAGGGCGGAUUUGCUUCUGUCGCCUCUGCAGCUUACAGUGUUGAUUUGCUGACCCUUGCUGCGUACACUGAUUACAUUUGCUAUGUUGUGUUGAUCCACAUUAAUUUCCCUUCAUUAGACAGAAGCUGGCACAAAUAGGAUCAAGUUAAUGGGAAAUACAGAGGUUGAGUCAUUUGAUUACCUGUGUACGACUUCUUGUAGUCUAUUUACCAACUGAAGAGGCUGAAAUAAACAACUAUCACCUUCACCUGCUGUCACCUCAUGUUAGUAUUUCUCUAUCUUUGCUUAUGACUUCACACAGAUUUGACUCCUCUUUCAAGAAAACACAUGGUUUCAUGUAUCACACUUUCAUUUUAAGUAAUACUCACCCUCUGUUUUGUUUGUUUUCUGAGCUCUCCAGACAAAAGGUUGACUUGUUGCUCAAAAUGGCCUCUUAAGCCCCGCCCACAGGAAGAGGAAGAGGAAGAGGGAGA
rnacentral:lncRNA from 1 species